rnacentral:tRNA from 1 species
GGCGGCGCUGGCUGUCUGGGGCGCGCUGGCCUGCGGGGCCGGCGCGGCGGGAGCGGCGUUCGACGUGCUGCCGCCACCGCCA